rnacentral:rRNA from 1 species
UUAAGCGACUAAGCGUACACGGUGGAUGCCCUGGCAGUCAGAGGCGAUGAAGGACGUGCUAAUCUGCGAUAAGCGUCGGUGAGGUGAUAUGAACCGUUAUAACCGGCGAUUUCCGAAUGGGGAAACCCAGUGUGUUUCGACACACUAUCAUUAACUGAAUCCAUAGGUUAAUGAGGCGAACCGGGGGAACUGAAACAUCUAAGUACCCCGAGGAAAAGAAAUCAACCGAGAUUCCCCCAGUAGCGGCGAGCGAACGGGGAGGAGCCCAGAGCCUGAAUCAGUGUGUGUGUUAGUGGAAGCGUCUGGAAAGGCGCGCGAUACAGGGUGACAGCCCCGUACACAAAAAUGCACAUACUGUGAGCUCGAUGAGUAGGGCGGGACACGUGGUAUCCUGUCUGAAUAUGGGGGGACCAUCCUCCAAGGCUAAAUACUCCUGACUGACCGAUAGUGAACCAGUACCGUGAGGGAAAGGCGAAAAGAACCCCGGCGAGGGGAGUGAAAAAGAACCUGAAACCGUGUACGUACAAGCAGUGGGAGCCUCUUAAUGGGGUGACUGCGUACCUUUUGUAUAAUGGGUCAGCGACUUAUAUUCUGUAGCAAGGUUAACCGAAUAGGGGAGCCGAAGGGAAACCGAGUCUUAACUGGGCGUUAAGUUGCAGGGUAUAGACCCGAAACCCGGUGAUCUAGCCAUGGGCAGGUUGAAGGUUGGGUAACACUAACUGGAGGACCGAACCGACUAAUGUUGAAAAAUUAGCGGAUGACUUGUGGCUGGGGGUGAAAGGCCAAUCAAACCGGGAGAUAGCUGGUUCUCCCCGAAAGCUAUUUAGGUAGCGCCUCGUGAAUUCAUCUCCGGGGGUAGAGCACUGUUUCGGCAAGGGGGUCAUCCCGACUUACCAACCCGAUGCAAACUGCGAAUACCGGAGAAUGUUAUCACGGGAGACACACGGCGGGUGCUAACGUCCGUCGUGAAGAGGGAAACAACCCAGACCGCCAGCUAAGGUCCCAAAGUCAUGGUUAAGUGGGAAACGAUGUGGGAAGGCCCAGACAGCCAGGAUGUUGGCUUAGAAGCAGCCAUCAUUUAAAGAAAGCGUAAUAGCUCACUGGUCGAGUCGGCCUGCGCGGAAGAUGUAACGGGGCUAAACCAUGCACCGAAGCUGCGGCAGCGACACUAUGUGUUGUUGGGUAGGGGAGCGUUCUGUAAGCCUGUGAAGGUGGCCUGUGAGGGUUGCUGGAGGUAUCAGAAGUGCGAAUGCUGACAUAAGUAACGAUAAAGCGGGUGAAAAGCCCGCUCGCCGGAAGACCAAGGGUUCCUGUCCAACGUUAAUCGGGGCAGGGUGAGUCGACCCCUAAGGCGAGGCCGAAAGGCGUAGUCGAUGGGAAACAGGUUAAUAUUCCUGUACUUGGUGUUACUGCGAAGGGGGGACGGAGAAGGCUAUGUUGGCCGGGCGACGGUUGUCCCGGUUUAAGCGUGUAGGCUGGUUUUCCAGGCAAAUCCGGAAAACCAAGGCUGAGGCGUGAUGACGAGGCACUACGGUGCUGAAGCGACAAAUGCCCUGCUUCCAGGAAAAGCCUCUAAGCAUCAGGUAACAUCAAAUCGUACCCCAAACCGACACAGGUGGUCAGGUAGAGAAUACCAAGGCGCUUGAGAGAACUCGGGUGAAGGAACUAGGCAAAAUGGUGCCGUAACUUCGGGAGAAGGCACGCUGAUAUGUAGGUGAAGCGACUUGCUCGUGGAGCUGAAAUCAGUCGAAGAUACCAGCUGGCUGCAACUGUUUAUUAAAAACACAGCACUGUGCAAACACGAAAGUGGACGUAUACGGUGUGACGCCUGCCCGGUGCCGGAAGGUUAAUUGAUGGGGUUAGCGGCAACGCGAAGCUCUUGAUCGAAGCCCCGGUAAACGGCGGCCGUAACUAUAACGGUCCUAAGGUAGCGAAAUUCCUUGUCGGGUAAGUUCCGACCUGCACGAAUGGCGUAAUGAUGGCCAGGCUGUCUCCACCCGAGACUCAGUGAAAUUGAACUCGCUGUGAAGAUGCAGUGUACCCGCGGCAAGACGGAAAGACCCCGUGAACCUUUACUAUAGCUUGACACUGAACAUUGAGCCUUGAUGUGUAGGAUAGGUGGGAGGCUUUGAAGUGUGGACGCCAGUCUGCAUGGAGCCGACCUUGAAAUACCACCCUUUAAUGUUUGAUGUUCUAACGUGGGCCCCUUACCGGGGUUGCGGACAGUGUCUGGUGGGUAGUUUGACUGGGGCGGUCUCCUCCUAAAGAGUAACGGAGGAGCACGAAGGUUGGCUAAUCCUGGUCGGACAUCAGGAGGUUAGUGCAAUGGCAUAAGCCAGCUUGACUGCGAGCGUGACGGCGCGAGCAGGUGCGAAAGCAGGUCAUAGUGAUCCGGUGGUUCUGAAUGGAAGGGCCAUCGCUCAACGGAUAAAAGGUACUCCGGGGAUAACAGGCUGAUACCGCCCAAGAGUUCAUAUCGACGGCGGUGUUUGGCACCUCGAUGUCGGCUCAUCACAUCCUGGGGCUGAAGUAGGUCCCAAGGGUAUGGCUGUUCGCCAUUUAAAGUGGUACGCGAGCUGGGUUUAGAACGUCGUGAGACAGUUCGGUCCCUAUCUGCCGUGGGCGCUGGAGAACUGAGGGGGGCUGCUCCUAGUACGAGAGGACCGGAGUGGACGCAUCACUGGUGUUCGGGUUGUCAUGCCAAUGGCACUGCCCGGUAGCUAAAUGCGGAAGAGAUAAGUGCUGAAAGCAUCUAAGCACGAAACUUGCCCCGAGAUGAGUUCUCCCUGACUCCUUGAGGGUCCUGAAGGAACGUUGAAGACGACGACGUUGAUAGGCCGGGUGUGUAAGCGCAGCGAUGCGUUGAGCUAACCGGUACUAAUGAACCGUGAGGCUUAACCUU